UGGGGAAUCUUGGACAAUGGGCGCAAGCCUGAUCCAGCCAUGCCGCGUGAGUGAAGAAGGCCUUAGGGUUGUAAAGCUCUUUUACCAGGGACGAUAAUGACGGUACCUGGAGAAUAAGCCCCGGCAAACUUCGUGCCAGCAGCCGCGGUAAUACGAAGGGGGCUAGCGUUGUUCGGAAUUACUGGGCGUAAAGCGCACGUAGGCGGGUCGUUAAGUCAGGGGUGAAAUCCCGGAGCUCAACUCCGGAACUGCCUUUGAUACUGGCGAUCUAGAGAUCGAGAGAGGUGAGUGGAAUUCCGAGUGUAGAGGUGAAAUUCGUAGAUAUUCGGAAGAACACCAGUGGCGAAGGCGGCUCACUGGCUCGAUACUGACGCUGAGGUGCGAAAGCGUGGGGAGCAAACA
rnacentral:rRNA from 1 species